GAGUUUGAUCAUGGCUCAGAUUGAACGCUGGCGGCAUGCCUUACACAUGCGAAGUCGAACGGCAGCACGGGAGCUUGCUCCUGGUGGCGAGUGGCGAACGGGUGAGUAAUGCAUCGGAACGUAUCCUGGAGUGGGGGAUAACGUAGCGAAAGUUACGCUAAUACCGCAUAUUCUGUGAGCAGGAAAGCGGGGGACCUUCGGGCCUCGCGCUCUUGGAGCGGCCGAUGUCGGAUUAGCUAGUUGGUGAGGUAAAGGCUCACCAAGGCGACGAUCCGUAGCAGGUCUGAGAGGAUGAUCUGCCACACUGGAACUGAGACACGGUCCAGACUCCUACGGGAGGCAGCAGUGGGGAAUUUUGGACAAUGGGGGCAACCCUGAUCCAGCCAUGCCGCGUGAGUGAAGAAGGCC
rnacentral:rRNA from 1 species